UACGUAGGGUGCGAGCGUUAAUCGGAAUUACUGGGCGUAAAGCGUGCGCAGGCGGUUCGCCAAGUCAGGUGUGAAAUCCCCGGGCUUAACCUGGGAAUUGCGCUUGAAACUAGCGGGCUUGAGUGUGGCAGAGGGGGGUGGAAUUCCACGUGUAGCAGUGAAAUGCGUAGAGAUCGGGAAGAACAUCAGUGGCGAAGGCGGCCUGCUGGGCUGUUGCUGACGCUGAGGCGCGACAGCGUGGGGAGCAAACAGG
rnacentral:rRNA from 1 species